CCUACGGGAGGCAGCAGUGGGGAAUAUUGGACAAUGGGGGCAACCCUGAUCCAGCCAUGCCGCGUGUGUGAAGAAGGCCCUCGGGUUGUAAAGCACUUUCAGUGAGGAAGAACGCCUGGUGGUUAAUACCCAUCAGGAAAGACAUCACUCACAGAAGAAGCACCGGCUAACUCCGUGCCAGCAGCCGCGGUAAUACGGAGGGUGCGAGCGUUAAUCGGAAUUACUGGGCGUAAAGCGCGCGUAGGUGGCUUGAUAAGCCGGUUGUGAAAGCCCCGGGCUCAACCUGGGAACGGCAUCCGGAACUGUCAAGCUAGAGUGCAGGAGAGGAAGGUAGAAUUCCCGGUGUAGCGGUGAAAUGCGUAGAGCUCGGGAGGAAUACCAGUGGCGAAGGCGGCCUUCUGGACUGACACUGACACUGAGGUGCGAAAGCGUGGGUAGCAAACAGGAUUAGAUACCCGGGUAGUC
rnacentral:rRNA from 1 species